GCUGGCUUCGGCCAUACAUUUACUAAAAUUGGGAUGAUACAGAGAAGAUCAGCAUGGCCCUGCGCAAGAAUAGGCACACAAACGUGUUAAGUGUUCCAUAUUUUA